rnacentral:rRNA from 1 species
AAUGAACGUUGGCGGCGUGGAUUAGGCAUGCGAGUCGUGCGAGAACCGUAGCAAUACGGGGACAGCGGCGAAAGGGAGAGGAACACGUGGGUACCUACCCUCAGACUCAGGAUAGCCAUGGGAAACUAUGGGUAAUACUGAAUAAUGUCUUCGGACCAAAGGUGUGAUUCCGUCCGAGGAGGGGCCCGCGUCCUAUUAGCUAGUUGGUGGGGUAACGGCUCACCAAGGCAAGGAUGGGUACGGGAUGUGAGAGCAUGAUCCCGCUCAUUGGGACUGAGACACUGCCCAGACACCUACGGGUGGCUGCAGUCGAGAAUCUUCGGCAAUGGGGGAAACCCUGACCGAGCGACGCCGCGUGCGAGAUGAAGGCCUUCGGGUUGUAAAUCGCUGUCGUAGGGGAGGAAAUACUGGUGGGUUCUCCCAUCAGCUUGACCUAUCCUAGGAGGAAGGACGGGCUAAGUUCGUGCCAGCAGCCGCGGUAAGACGAACCGUCCAAACGUUAUUCGGAAUCACUGGGCUUAAAGGGUGCGUAGGCGGUCCGGAAAGUUGGGUGUGAAAGCCCUCGGCUCAACCGAGGAACUGCGCCCAAAACUGCCGGGCUCGAGGGAGACAUAGGUGAGCGGAACCUAGGGUGGAGCGGUGAAAUGCGUUGAGAUCCUAGGGAACACCAGUAGCGAAAGCGGCUCACUGGGUCUCUUCUGACGCUGAUGCACGAAAGCUAGGGGAGCGAAGAGGAUUAGAUACCCUCGUAGUCCUAGCCGUAAACGAUGAGCACUGGUUUGGAGGGUCCUCCAUAGCCUUCCAGACGUAGCGAAAGUGUUAAGUGCUCCGCCUGGGGAGUAUGGUCGCAAGGCUG